GCAACCUCAGGCCUUCCUCAGAGCUCUGACUCGAGCAGCAAGCUCAUCAAAGUCAGGCAUUUUCGGGUGCACAUGUACAGUUUUGGGACAGUCCGGCUGCAGUGAGGUAGACCGGGCAGGAAACUUCACAUCUUCAUCGCGGCAGACGGAUUCCCCUGGCAGUGAGAUUGCUCUUCCUGGAGGAUGCAUGGAGCCCUUUUGCUCAGAUUGUUCUUCUGCUUUGUUGGUUGGAGCUGGAUUGAUUUCCGCAUCUAAACCUUUCUUGCUGUAGUGCCUCAGAAGCUUAUCCAUCAUUCUCUCCUCCUCAUCAACUCCACUGCGCGCAUCAGUAUUGCGGCUUUUGUGUCUCCUAUGGCCAUUUCCAGUUCUGGGUAAAAGAUUACCAAAGUCAAUUGCAGCCUCAUCCUCUUCUGAUUUAUGGCGCUGCAUGAAUCCAUCGUAGUCCUCGACCCAUCUCUCCGGGCACUGCCAUCAUUAACAGCAUUCUGCCUGCUUGUGUGUCUUCUGUGACUACUGGGUGUUCGGCUUGAAACCUUUUCAUUGGCAGGCGCCUCAUCAUAGACAGCAGCAGGUGCAGGUGGCUUGGCAUAUUUACUUCUAACAGAAACAGGUCGAAGAGGAUCUUUGUCAGACAGGUGAUCUGUUUGUUCAGGGAUAGCACGUUUGCUGUAGUCACUAGCAGCUCGCUCUGCAGGAUCAUCAUUCACUGUUUCCAUGUUGAGUUUUGGUUUGAUGUAAGGAGGUCGCACAUAAGCUGCCCUCUCUGGCACUGGCUGUCUAUCUUGCACUGGAUUCCCCUUAUCUGCUAAAUGAUGUGGUCUAGCAUUCAAGCAACCAGUGUUCUCUUCCUUUUCAGAACAUUUCUUGCCGGUAGAUCCAUCCAGCUUAGAAUAAGGAGGCAUCCUGUUUUUAGUGUUACCAUUCAAAGGAUUCACUGAUUGAAGCCCCUGCUUAUCUAGGCCAAGGGUUCUGAGACCUGAAUCUGCAUGAUCAGCAGCACAAGGAAUAUGUGAUCUGUGGUGGUGACCAAGGUUGCUCUCGUUCUCCUUCUCAAGAUCAUUGUCUUUCUUAGGCUUGACAUUUAGUGCAAAUGUCUUCUUGCUUUCUGCUUCAGGAACUUUCAAUGAACCAAAUUCCUUCUUAGGCAGGCCAUUGAGGUCUAGCUCCACCGCUUCCAUUAGUUCCUUUUCGCAAGGGCGAACAUCUUUUUUGUUAGCUUUCUGAACUUCUUUUUGAAUGUUCCUUCUUUUCAUCUCUGAAUCGGACACUGGUUUCUCCACAUGCCCCUUACCAUCAGAUUUAUCCGCAUGCUGUCUCCUGGUGUUUUCACGUAACCGGUCAAUGCCAUCAGCAACAGGAUGAACAUCCUUUUGUUGUUUUAAGGACGCUUCCAAUUUAUUCUUGUGGCCAAGAGUAGCAGCUUCAGAUUUUCUUCCUGAUGGAGCAGCAUCAUCCCCCUUCUUGCUGGACAAAGGCACUGCCAGUUCUACCUGUUUCUUUGAUUUGUGUAAGCAUAUAGUACAUGUUUGGUUUCUGGAGUGGCCCAUAGUUUGAUCUUAAAUGCUUUGAUAUCAAAAUCAACCAAUAGUUCUUCAGACACACUUUGCAUGGCUUGUAUCUUUUCCUCAUUAGUGAACACUUUAUUGUCCAGCUUCUGAACAAACUGCAAGCUAACAAAAGGCUCAAGAAAAUGUCCAUAUCUCUCUGUGAAAAUAUGCCUAAGGUCACACAGUUCUGGCAAAUCUGGAAACCGAGCAGCAGCAAAAAUUAGAGUCGACACAGCUUCCCGAGUUUCCUGGGGGCAAUCCCUUUACCCCUGUUUCUGUAGGCUGUUGAGCUGUUUACCAAUGUACUCACAGAACUGCUCGAUCAUAUCAUAGCAAGAAGCAUGGUUCAUCUCAAUUAUCAGCCCAUCCAUCCGUCCAAAUGCAUGUGUGUCGAGGCCAUUGGUGAGGAGGUCGGCUAUGUCCUUCUUCAUGAAUCGAAUCAUCGCCUGCUUCUUCCGCCGUAUGAGAGCCAGCCGCGUACGAAUGCAUUUGAAUGCCAAUUUCUCACCAUUUGUUGUAGAACUUGGAGUUGAGCAGGCUGCCAAACAUCUUCCCCCACUCCUCCCCUCCUCCCAGCUUCUUCUUCUUCUUCUUCUUCUUCUUCUCCCUUCCGCCUCGCUUCACC
rnacentral:sRNA from 1 species